GUUUAUGUAGCUUAAUUUUCCCAAAGCAAGACACUGAAAAUGCCUAGAUGGGUUCACAAACCCCAUAAACA
rnacentral:tRNA from 1 species